UACGGGGGGGGCAAGCGUUGUUCGGAAUUACUGGGCGUAAAGGGCCAGUAGGCGGCCAACUAAGUCGGAUGUGAAAUCCCCAGGCUUAACCUGGGAACUGCAUCCGAUACUGGAUGGCUUGAAUUCGGGAGAGGGAUGCAGAAUUCCAGGUGUAGCGGUGAAAUGCGUAGAUAUCUGGAGGAACACCGGUGGCGAAGGCGGCAUCCUGGACCGGCAUUGACGCUGAGGCGCGAAAGCCAGGGGAGCAAACGGG
rnacentral:rRNA from 1 species